UAAUAAAACCGUGCUAUUAAAAGUUUACAGAACUAAGAUCCAAAUAACUAUUGCGACUCGGGUACUCGAUAUCCAUUGCUAUUCCAUUCUUGUGCUAUACUCGUAUUGUGUUGUUUUAAGUAUUUUUUGGAGCAUGUUCUUUCUGAUAAAUGGUCAUGCUUGACCAUCUACAAACAGUGGCGCGCACAUGAGCAGAUCACUAACGAUAAUCCCAAUAAAUUUGCCAUCAGCAUCAGGAUGGAACGGAGCGGGUAUCUAGCGGCGUAUGCACUGACGACGACAGUCGGCGAGAGAGCAGUAGCGGUUGUUGUUGCCCCCACAGCCCAAGUACCUCAUCGUUUGGCAGUCCCUGACGCGUGGGUUGUACCACCACAUUACGGGCAUGAAUCUCGCUGGACAGGACCUAUUUCGGUUGUGGCCUUCAUGCCGGCCGCCAGUGCAUGCCUGGAUCGCUACAGAAACAUAGAAAUAAUGUCCUGUAAGUUGAUAAGCUCGAAACUGAACUGAUCUUCACUUACCGGGACGUCCACGUCAGUUGACCUGGCUAGAGGUGUGGGCCACAUAAAGUGCCAGACAAGCCAAAACCAAAAUAACCUUCAUUCUCAAAAGACUCGUGUCGAAUGUUCGAUUUAAACUGUAGGAUCAAUCGGGUUUCGGGGCUUAUAUAGGAUCGAUCUUCUGGUAGUAAAGUCAUUUCA